ensembl:lncRNA
GAGGCGAGGCGAAGAGAGGCGAGGCCUGAUGAGGCGAGGCGAGGUGAGGCAACGGUAAGGAGAUGCGAAGCGAGGCAAAGGCAAGGCUAAGGCGAGGUGAGGCGUGGCGUGGCAGGGCAAGACGAGGUGAGGGGUGGCGAGGCAAGGCAAAGGCGAGGCGAGGCGUUGCAAAGUGAGAGAAAGGUGAGGCGAGGAGAGGCAAGGCGUUGCAAAGUGAGGGAAAGGCAAGGCAUGAUGAGGCGAGGCGAGUUGUGGCGAGGCAAGGAGAGGUGAGGCGGGGCGAGGCGAGGCGAUGCGAGGCGAGGCGAGGCGAGGCGAGGCCUGACGAGGCGAGGCGAGGUGAGGCAAAGGCGAGGCGAGGCGAGGCGA